UACGAAGGGGGCUAGCGUUGCUCGGAAUGACUGGGCGUAAAGGGCGCGUAGGCGGAUGAUACAGUCAGAUGUGAAAUUCCCGGGCUUAACCUGGGGGCUGCAUUUGAGACGUGUUGUCUAGAGUGAGGAAGAGGGUUGUGGAAUUCCCAGUGUAGAGGUGAAAUUCGUAGAUAUUGGGAAGAACACCGGUGGCGAAGGCGGCAACCUGGUCCUUGACUGACGCUGAGGCGCGAAAGCGUGGGGAGCAAACAGGAUUAGAUACCCUGGUAGUCCACGCUGUAAACGAUGUGUGCUGGAUGUUGGGUGACCUAGUCACUCAGUGUCGUAGCUAACGCGAUAAGCACACCGCCUGGGGAGUACGGCCGCAAGGUUGAA
rnacentral:rRNA from 1 species